GCAGCCGCGGUAAUACGGAAGGUCCGGGCGUUAUCCGGAUUUAUUGGGUUUAAAGGGAGCGUAGGCCGGAGAUUAAGCGUGUUGUGAAAUGUAGACGCUCAACGUCUGCACUGCAGCGCGAACUGGUUUCCUUGAGUACGCACAAAGUGGGCGGAAUUCGUGGUGUAGCGGUGAAAUGCUUAGAUAUCACGAAGAACUCCGAUUGCGAAGGCAGCUCACUGGAGCGCAACUGACGCUGAAGCUCGAAAGUGCGGGUAUCGAACAGGAUUAGAUACCCC
rnacentral:rRNA from 1 species